UCGUAUCCUCUGACUCCUCUCCCACUCACUACUCGACUCACUCUCCCUCUCUUUCACUCACUCAUUCACUCGAUGCCUCAUCUUCAUUUCACGUUCUCUUCAGACCCAUUUCCAUUUUCUUCUUCUUUCUCAAAUUUUCUUUCUUGUUGCAGCAACAACCUGCCACCGUUCCUUCUCACCACCAACAUAUCUUCUUCUUCUUCUUGAUUUAUUUCUGCUGCACACACACUCACCAUCCAUUUCUCCCUCACGCUGCAACCAUCACCAUGGUUCUUCCUUCUCCUCACGUUAGCCAUCAUCACCGCUGGUCACCACAACACCACAAGGGACCCUUUUUCCCCACCCAAAACUAAGGAACAACCAGCCACCACCAUUACUUCUUCUUCCUCCUUGGCUAGACAACACGCGCGCACCACCAUGGCCAACGCACCCCACCAUGAAACAACCAUGGAAGCUACCACCUCACCUUUUCUUCAUGGCCACCACGAGAUCCACCCACGUGAACCACCACCAUGAGCCCAAGAGCCACGAGCUCCUCUCCUAUGGCUGCACCACCGCAGGUCCAGCAACCACCACCACCCUCCUUUCCUCAUGAGACAAGCCACCCCACUACUCAGCCUUCCUCAACGUGCCACACCACCAAGACCAGCAACUGCCGCCCCUCUUUUUCCUUGGCCGCGAGCAAGCCACCACCGUGGUUACUCCUUCGUCCUCCGUUUCCGGCAAGGAAAAGCCACCAAUCAAUGAGCUCAAGAUCACCACACCACCACCGCAUCACAGCUUGAAGCCGCCACAGCCACCGUGAACAAAACAGAGCAAGAAAAACGUGAAAACAGAGGAGUAAGACGCUGACGUCGACGACGUCGCCAACUUUGACCUUCGAUUCCGGUGUCAUCGGGCCUCCGUUCACAGCGAGGUUAGUACCCUUGGAACCCUUGUGACUUCCACAACAAAACCCAUGUUCCGGAUCGUCGUUCCGUCGCUGUCGACCGCCGCCGCUGCCGCCUUCGGGAGCUUUUUCCGGUCAACUCCGGCGACCGAUGGAAAAACAGAGGAUACUACCACGAUCCUUGCCGCGAGGAGAGCCAAACCCUAUUUUCAAUUUCAUAUUUGAGUCAUUUUAUUCGAUGACCCCGACGACCACCGUCGACCUUCGGUUGAACUUUCUGGGCAAACCGUCGACUCUUUGGGGAAACGGACAACGUCGUUGAAUUCCUGGCCGCGAAAGGAUGAAGGAACAACCUUCCUUUGUGUCUCCGGCGACAAUCCCUCGGUCAACCCCGUGAGCCGCAACUUCCUCUACGACUCUCCACCGACAAGUUUCUGAAACUUGAUUUUCGUACGAUAAACGGAAGCACCUUGCAUCGAAGCUACACAAAGGAAGGAAUCGAGCCGACGCAGACAAACAAAGAUGUAAUCGGAUCGGAGUUGCACCUUAGUACGAAAAUUGGCUAAGACGUUCAACAGUUGAUUCGUGAUGGUUCGUCGUUCGGGGAGGACCCGGAGCGAAAUGACUAUUACUGAGCCUUCGACGUGGACCCGAACUUCUUGCAGGAUCGGAUGAGGGUCGAUGUUAGGGGUGUAGUAUAUCGGGUGUCGUUGUCAUAGCUCUGAUUGUCAUUUCUUAUUUUGGGGUAGGGUAGGUCCCCGACUAUUAGCUUUUUGUGUGGUUCUCUUCCAUGAGGAUCACAGGGAGUUUGUUGGACGUAGGAGGUCUUUUGAAAGCCGUUCUGGGCUGACUUACUUUCUUGGAUGACUGUAUUUAUAAAACUUAUGACUCUGACUAUGGGUCACACUUAUUUGCCUGCGGGCACUACUUUCAGUUACUUGAUGUUACUUUCCGUCACUUGAGGACACUCGUGACGAUGAUUUUAGUUGCAGCGAGGGCUGUACUUAUAUUGUAUAUUAGUCGUUGUUAA